GAGUUUGCUCAUGGCUCAGAACGUACGCUGGCGGCACGCCUAACACAUGCAAGUCGAACGAAGUAGCAAUACUUAGUGGCAGACGGGUGAGUAACAUGUGGGUAUCUACCCUUUGGCCUGGAAUAACACGAGGAAACUUGUGCUAAUACCGGAUAAGUCUUUACGGAGAAAGCUUUAUGCACCAUUGGAUGAGCCCGCACUUGAUUAGUUUGUUGGUAGGGUAAUGGCCUACCAAGACUAUGAUCAAUAGCUGAUUUGAGAGGAUGACCAGCCACAUUGGGACUGAGACACGGCCCAAACUCCUACGGGAGGCAGCAGUGGGGAAUCUUGCACAAUGGAGGAAACUCUGAUCCAGCCAUGCCGCGUGCAGGAUGACGGCCCUAUGGGUUGUAAACUGCUUUUAUGUAGGAAGAAACACUCUCACGUGUGAGAGCUUGACGGUACUACAAGAAUAAGGACCGGCUAACUCCGUGCCAGCAGCCGCGGUAAUACGGAGGGUCCAAGCGUUAUCCGGAAUCAUUGGGUUUAAAGGGUCCGUAGGCGGGCUAUUAAGUCAGAGGUGAAAGUUUGCAGCUCAACUGUAAAAUUGCCUUUGAUACUGGUUGACUUGAGUCAUAUGGAAGUAGAUAGAAUGUGUAGUGUAGCGGUGAAAUGCAUAGAUAUUACACAGAAUACCGAUUGCGAAGGCAGUCUACUACGUAUGUACUGACGCUGAGGGACGAAAGCGUGGGGAGCGAACAGGAUUAGAUACCCUGGUAGUCCACGCCGUAAACGAUGGAUACUAGUUGUUGGGCAUUAGCUCAGUGACUAAGCGAAAGUGAUAAGUAUCCCACCUGGGGAGUACGGUCGCAAGACUGAAACUCAAAGGAAUUGACGGGGGCCCGCACAAGCGGUGGAGCAUGUGGUUUAAUUCGAAGAUACGCGCAGAACCUUACCAACACUUGACAUGUUCGUCGCGACUCUAAGAGAUUAGAGUUUUCGGUUCGGCCGGACGAAACACAGGUGCUGCAUGGCUGUCGUCAGCUCGUGUCGUGAGAUGUUGGGUUAAGUCCCGCAACGAGCGCAACCCUCACUUUUAGUUGCCAUCAUUAAGUUGGGCACUCUGAAAGAACUGCCAGUGAUAAGCUGGAGGGAGGUGGGGAUGACGUCAAGUCCUCAUGGCCCUUACGUGUUGGGCUACACACGUGCUACAAUGGCAUCUACAACAGGAAGCAAAACGGCAACGUUAAGCAAAUCCCGAAAAGAUGCCUCAGUUCGGAUUGCACUCUGCAACUCGAGUGCAUGAAGCUGGAAUUACUAGUAAUCGUGGAUCAGCGUGCCACGGUGAAUGCGUUCCCGGGUCUUGUACACACCGCCCGUCACACCAUGGGAGUUGGUUCUACCUUAAGGCAAGGUUUUAAACCCUUGACCACGGUAUAGUCAGCGACUGGGGUGAAGUCGUAACAAGGUAACC
rnacentral:rRNA from 1 species